UGAGGCAGAAAUAUCGGUGGUCAGGAAAAUACUACAAUCACGCAAAGAAUCAGAACAACGGAUGCAAUGUUCAACCAUAGAUCAUGGUAAUAAGGGCUUCAGAUUUCACAGGUGUCCUGUGAUGCGUCUACAUCCUGGUUACAAGCUGGUGGACGGCGGCGCCCUCCAUCACCUCUUCCUCCGCCAACACCUUCCUCUGGAGCUCCUGAAGGACGAAACAGGAGAGCUGAGAAUUUUUUCCGUUCGUCUCUCACCCUGAAGCUGUGGAGUCUCGUCCGUCUGUCCUGCAGAGUCUUCUCCUGGCUGGACGUCACUUCUGCUAUCUGCGUCCUCCACUGCUGCUCUCUCUCCUGUAACACCAGAGUUUCACACAUGCACCAGUUCAAACAGUCAACAGUGUUGAUGACUAAAUAUACUGUUAAAAAGACAGAAGGAAAAAAUACGGACCCAGUUACGCCUCAAUGCCCUGAGGAUUACGAAAUGAAUGUGAAAAAUCAAAAAGAUUCCAUAUUUGACCUUGAUCAUCGAUGACCUUUUACAGUUGCACUUGGUGUGAUUCUUUGUAAACAUGUGACCACUUGUCAGAAUGCUGGUUUCCUUAAACGUUUUAAACCACUUUGAAUAAUAAACUCAAACUUAAUGAACUGUUUGAUAUCUACGAUCAGCUGGAAUGUUUGUGUGAUUGAAUCAAAAUGACUUUUCUCCGUACAAUAUGUGUUUUAAGUUGGCACUAUAGUGUAUAUAUAAUGAAAUGAAUAUAAAAGACUUUAGAUUCA